UUUUUUUUUUUUUACGUUAAUUUAAUACUAUUGUUAAAUUUUUUUGUUCUAAUUUUAUUUUCUCUUUUUUUUUUUUUUUUUUUUUUUAUACAGUUUUUUUUUGUUAUAAUUUUUUUUUUUUUUUUUUUUUUUUUUUUUUUGGUAAAUACAGUUUUGCAUUGUAACAUGUUAUGUCGUUAUUUCUAGAUUUAUAAAUAUACUUUUUCUGUUGUUUAUUAAUAAAAUUAUAUUAUCAAAAAAAUUUAUAUUAUUUAACAUAUAUAAGUUGAAAUAGAACUAAAAAAAAAUGCAUUAAAUCUACCUGUAACGUAAAAAAAGCUACUGAUAAAUAUUUACUAAAAUCAUUAUUAUAUAGUAAUUGCUGAUAAAAAAAAUGUUUACAACAAUUUAUAAAAUAAUUAUUGCUUCAUUUUUUAUAUGGGCAUGGACUAAUAACAACAAAGAUCGGCUAGAAAAUAUAAUAAGACCAAAAUAUGGUAGAUCACUGACCCAACGUGAUAUCUCCCCAAACCAACAAAAUAACCAUUAUUAUGUAGCACAUAAUGACAAUAACCACUUUUAUAAACAGUUUGAACAAUACAUUAGUAACAAUGAUCCAAAUACGAGUGCUUUUAAAUAUGAUGAUCAUUGUCCAAAAAUAUCAACUUAUGUCACUCCUAUUAAAAAAGAAUUAAUUAAAAUAUUAGAUAACCUACAGGAUCCCCUAUUAAAUGAUAUACUAAAAAAAAAUAGAAACAUACAAAAUAAUGAUUUACUAGAAAUAUAUGACCAUAUUAAACAUAUCAUUUCAAGUGAACAAUAUUUAAAAAUUCUAAAAGAAAGUUGUGAGUUAUUAAAAAGUAGAGGUUCUAAUAACUUUUCUGAAACAAAUUACAACUCGAUUUUACACUUAUUGGAUACAUAUUUCUUUUUUACGGACAAUAAAAAAAAAUUUAAAGAACGCCUUAUGCAAUUACAACAAGAUAAUCAGGAACAACCAACAUUCACAAAAAAAAAAAAGUUUAAAGCAAAAUAUUUAAAUAUAUUUAAACUCAGUGAAAAAAUGAAUAAAGAAUUGAAGACUGUGUUAUUUAAGCAAAUAAUAAAAAAAAAAAUUGAUACAGUUGCACAAAAGCCAUUUAAAUAUGUGCCUAAGAUUUUUAUUUAUUCAUUUUAUAAACCAUUAUUAUUAUAUAUGAUUUUAAUAUUGAUCACACCUUUUGGGAUAGCUCCUCUUGCAUUAACAAUAAUUGGAAUGAUCAUAUCAACAUAUACACACUCUAUAUAUAAACUUUAUAAAAACAUAACAGCCAUAAAGGGAAUUGUAAAAGGGUCAGAACUAUCAGACAGGAAAAGCUUUAGUUAACAAUAAGCACCACUUAUUUUUAUAAUAAAUAUAUAAUUUGUUAAAAUAAUUAUAAAUGU
rnacentral:lncRNA from 1 species